CUGAUGCCCAGGCCAACAGGUCUUAAAUACCAACUAGGCUGACUGAUGCCCAGGCCAACAGGUCUUAAAUACCAACUAGGCUGACUGAUGCCCAGGCCAACAGGUCUUAAAUACCAGCUAGGCUGACUGAUGCCCAGGCCAACAGGUCUUAAAUACCAGCUAGGCUGACUGAUGCCCAGGCCAACAGGUCUUAAAUACCAGCUAGGCUGACUGAUGCCCAGGCCAGCAGGUCUUAAAUACCAGCUAGGCUGACUGAUGCCCAGGCCAACAGGUCUUAAAUACCAGCUAGGCUGACUGAUGCCCAGGCCAACAGGUCUUAAAUACCAGCUAGGCUGACUGAUGCCCAGGCCAGCAGGUCUUAAAUCCCAGCUAGGCUGACUGAUGCCCAGGCCAACAGGUCUUAAAUACCAGCUAGGCUGACUGAUGCCCAGGCCAACAGGUCUUAAAUACCAACUAGGCAGACUGAUGCCCAGGCCAACAGGUCUUAAAUACCAACUAGGCAGACUGAUGCCCAGGCCAACAGGUCUUAAAUACCAGCUAGGCUGACUGAUGCCCAGGCCAACAGGUCUUAAAUACCAACUAGGCUGACUGAUGCCCAGGCCAACAGGUCUUAAAUACCAGCUAGGCUGACUGAUGCCCAGGCCAACAGGUCUUAAAUACCAGCUAGGCUGACUGAUGCCCAGGCCAGCAGGUCUUAAAUACCAACUAGGCAGACUGAUGCCCAGGCCAACAGGUCUUAAAUUGAGUUCUAAGAUCAGGCCAGUUCCAUAACUUUCAUAACUGCUUCUACAGGUUCACCUUGGCUUCGACAGCCCAACACAGGAAGCAGCAGAGCAGUGGAGGGACAGCAUUUCUCACCCUGAGAAGAUGGUGGCUGUAUGGCACAGACUUAACGGAUUCUGACACACCUGUAUAAAUCCGCUUCCCAAAGAUGUUGACAGCCUCACCUGAAUCGCGACCUGUACUGCCACCCAGUGGUAUAAAGUACUUAAGUAAAAAUACUUUAGUAGUUUUUGGAGGUAUCUGUACUUUACUUUACUAUUUAUAUGUUUGACCUUGUAUUAUUUUGUAGAUAAAGUAUGUAGAUUACUCAUUUAUGUUGCAUAGACUUGUUUUGUGUAGUGUCAUAUGUUGUAUGUUCAGUUGAUAUAAUAUAAUGUUUUAGAGGACAGAUAUUUGGCGGCAGGUGGUGGUUAUUGGGCCAGUAACCGAAAGGUUGCGAGUUCGAAUCCCCGAGCUGACAAGGUAAAAGAAAAUCUGUCAUUCUGGCCCCUGAACAAGACCGUUAACCCACUGUUCACCGGUAGGCUGUCUUUGUAAAUAAGAAUUUGUUCUUAACCGACUUAAAUAAUGGUAUAAUAAAAAAUAUAAAACAUU